AACGAACGCUGGCGGCAGGCUUAACACAUGCAAGUCGAGCGCCCCGCAAGGGGAGCGGCAGACGGGUGAGUAACGCGUGGGAAUCUACCCAUCUCUACGGAAUAACGCAUGGAAACGGGUGCUAAUACCGUAUACGUCCUUCGGGAGAAAGAUUUAUCGGGGAUGGAUGAGCCCGCGUUGGAUUAGCUAGUUGGUGGGGUAAAGGCCUACCAAGGCGACGAUCCAUAGCUGGUCUGAGAGGAUGAUCAGCCACACUGGGACUGAGACACGGCCCAGACUCCUACGGGAGGCAGCAGUGGGGAAUACUGGACAAUGGGCGCAAGCCUGAUCCAGCCAUGCCGCGUGAGUGAUGAAGGCCCUAGGGUUGUAAAGCUCUUUCACCGGUGAAGAUAAUGACGGUAACCGGAGAAGAAGCCCCGGCUAACUUCGUGCCAGCCGCCGCAGUAACAC
rnacentral:rRNA from 1 species